rnacentral:lncRNA from 1 species
UCAUUGAGAUUUCGCGCGGGUGUGCGUGAGGUUGUUCUUGUCUGCCAAAGUUAGGUAAAUGUCACGCAUUAAACGUGCUUAUUGGACAACCGCUGUAUCUGCACCUAGUUGGUUGUGAUUCUGGUAUGUUAAUAUCUAUCAGAUCUUGUUUGCUGAUUCAAUGCAUCAUAUGCAGUCUGGUGACAUGCAAUAUGUUAUCCUUCAUAUUGUUCUGCAGUUGUUCCUAUUGCUAGGGUCUAUUGCUGCUUGUGCAGGCUGCUGUUGCUGCUACUUGGGAAGUCAAAAUAUGUACUGGCAGUUUGAGAAUUGUAUGGUUUUAGUUGAACUAGGCUAUUUCUGUCACAGAUUUUUAGGAAUGCGAAUCUGGCUGAUGUUUUUUAGCACAAGUUUGAACACAUUGCACACUGAACGAAUUAUCCGGUAGUAAGCGGGUGUCAAGUCUAGAUUCACUUUAUAAAUGAUAAAUGACAUUCCUUGGGUCAAAGAUAUCUAUGAUUAAAGAUGGCAACGAAAUGGAAAAGCACAAUGAUUGUAUGUUGGUAGACAAAUUUACGCUACUACGAGGCUCGUCCUGAGGUUUUGCGAUGGACUAAGUUUUUCCAAUACUAAAAUUAUCUCAUGUUAAAAUGGUUUUUCAAAUUUUUUUUUAUGAUCUCGUUAUUUGUGAUCUGUUUCCUUUAUGUUUUUGCUUGUUUGCUUGUUUUGUUUUGCUUUCCUUCCGGUAUUUAUUAAUAAUUCCCUGGCAAAAAUCAACAAUGGAAAAAUUCACAUGUGAUUAUAGAUGAAAUGUGACUAAACUUUUACAUCUACUGUAUGUAUACAAUAAAAUAAAUUUCGUAAAAUAUGAA